CUCAGGUGGGAUUCCUUGUUCCCUAGAACUUCUCUUAACGCCAAAUGCAUUGUCGGGUCUGAUCAUACCCCCUUGAUUCUUGACGAUGGUUCCAUUUGCACGCGACCUCUGGCUAGAUUUCAAUUUGAUGCUUCAUGGUUGUCGGUGGAUGGCUUUGCUGAUAUGGCUGCAGCGAAGAUUUCCCCAUCCCUCUCGUCCAACUCCCACUCGUUUGGGCCUCUGGAUGAUUGGCACUCGUGCUCCUAUGACUUACGUAAGUUUCUUAGAGGUUGGUCUCGUAAUCGUGCGGCGGAGGAUCGUCGCACCAAAGCUUUUCUCGAAAACCAGAUCUUGGAGCUGGAUCGUGCUGCUGAUUCUACUGGGCUCUCUGACGAUGGCUGGGCCGUUCGUUAUAAUCUUGAGGUUGCUUUAAUGCAGUUGCACCACCAGGCCGAGAUUUAUUGGCGCCAGCGGGGCACUCUUAACUGGACUCUUAAAGGGGACUCUCCUACAGCCUACUUUUUUGCGAUUGCGAACGGUAGGCGUAGGUGCUGUGAUAUUAAUAGCCUUCUGAUUAAUGGUGUGCGUUCUUCUGAUCAGUCUGUUAUUAUGGCUCAUGUGGUGGAUUUCUUUUCUUUGUUGUUA
rnacentral:rRNA from 1 species